CUUUGGUUCCCAUGUCAUCAUUCUAAAGCUUUCAAAGUGGAAAGGGAGCAAAGGGUCAGGAAAAAUGAUGGCCUCUCAGCUACCCAGCACAAGUUUCCCACACCAGGCGUGAUUAGCUGGAACAGAUAUUCUCUCUCAGUUCUGGAAGCAGGUCUGUCACGCUAAGCACACCAAGAAAACCCCUCAGAGUCGCCAUUUUCUUAUAACACAGAAUGUGGCUCCGAUAAUGCCUCUCACAUUCCAGAGGAUCAAGUCAGUAUCUAGCUGAAGAAGAUGGCAACAACAGAUUUACUCACCCGGCUGCUUUAGGGCUGCUUCAUCCCGUUUGCAACACCAGGUUCCAGCUUCCUGUAUGUUCUGCUAAUGGUAGAGUGGUUCCACCCAGGAUGACUAAGAGCCAACUCCUCCAGGAAGCCUGAGAUCUCAUCCCGCACCCAUCGCUCAGGAACACAUUGCUAUGAGAGGACACUGAGCACACUGCCAGGAGGAAGCAAGCAGUACCUUGGAAUGCAGAGGCCUUCAAAGCACA